AGUGAACGCUGGCGGUAGGCCUAACACAUGCAAGUCGAACGGCAGCACAGUAAGAGCUUGCUCUUACGGGUGGCGAGUGGCGGACGGGUGAGGAAUACAUCGGAAUCUACUUUUUCGUGGGGGAUAACGUAGGGAAACUUACGCUAAUACCGCAUACGACCUACGGGUGAAAGCAGGGGAUCUUCGGACCUUGCGCGAUUGAAUGAGCCGAUGUCGGAUUAGCUAGUUGGCGGGGUAAAGGCCCACCAAGGCGACGAUCCGUAGCCGGUCUGAGAGGAUGAUCAGCCACACUGGAACUGGGACACGGUCCAGGCUCCUAAGGGAGGCAGCAGUGGGGAAUAUUGGACAAUGGGCGCAAGCCUGAUCCAGCCAUACCGCGUGGGUGAAGAAGGCCUUCGGGUUGUAAAGCCGUUUUGUUGGGAAAGAAAAGCAGCAGGUUAAUACGCCGCUGUUCUGACGGUACCCAAUGAAUAAGCACCGGCUAACUUCGUG
rnacentral:rRNA from 1 species